rnacentral:rRNA from 1 species
UACGUAGGGGGCAAGCGUUGUCCGGAUUUACUGGGCGUAAAGGAUGCGUAGGCGGACAUUUAAGUCAGAUGUGAAAUACCCGAGCUUAACCUGGGAACUGCAUUUGUGACUGCAUAGCUAGAGUACGGUAGAGGGGGAUGGAAUUCCACGUGUAGCAGUGAAAUGCGUAGAGAUGUGGAGGAAUACCGAUGGCGAAGGCAGCCUCCUGGGCCAACACUGACGCUCAUGCACGAAAGCGUGGGGAGCAAACAGG